GCCUGGGUGGCUCAGUCGGUUGAGCGUCCGACUUCGACUCAGGUGGUGAUCUCACGGUGCGUGGGUUCAAGCCCCGCGUUGGGCU